rnacentral:rRNA from 1 species
AGUCAAUAGAUACCCUGGUAGUCCACGCAGUAAACGAUGGACACUAGGUGUGGGGGGUAUCGACCCCUCCCGUGCCGAAAGCAAAAACGACAUUAAGUGUCCCGCCUGGGGAGUACGGCCGCAAGGCUAAAACUACAAAGGAAAUUGACGGGGGCCCGGCACAAGCAGCGGAGCGUGUGGUUUAAUUCGACGCAACGCGAAGAACCUUACCAGGACUUGACAUCGCCUGGAAUAGUGCAGAAAUGUGCUAGUCCCUUCGGGGACUGGGUGACAGAUGCUGCAUGGCUGUCGUCAGCUCGUGCCGUGAGGUGUUGGGUUAAGUCCCGCAACGAGCGCAACCCUCGUCGCUAGUUGAAUGUUCUAGCGAGACUGCCGGGAUAAACUCGGAGGAAGGUGGGGAUGACGUCAAGUCAUCACGGCUCUUACGUCCUGGGCUACACACACGCUACAAUGGGUGGUACAAAGGGUUGCGAUAGCGCGAGCUGGAGCCAAUCCCAAAAAGCCAUCCUCAGUUCA